rnacentral:rRNA from 1 species
UACAGAGGUCCCAAGCGUUGUUCGGAUUCACUGGGCGUAAAGGGUGCGUAGGCGGUCGGGUAAGUCUGAUGUGAAAUCUCACAGCUUAACUGUGAAACUGCAUUGGAUACUAUUCGGCUAGAGAGUUGGAGGGGGGACUGGAAUUCUCGGUGUAGCAGUGAAAUGCGUAGAUAUCGAGAGGAACACCAGUGGCGAAGGCGAGUCCCUGGACAGGUCCUGACGCUGAGGCACGAAAGCUAGGGGAGCAAACAGG